GAUGAACGCUAGCGAUAGGCUUAACACAUGCAAGUCGAGGGGCAGCACAAGGUAGCUUGCUAUCUGGGUGGCGACCGGCGCACGGGUGCGUAACGCGUAUGCAACUUGCCCUAUACAGGAGGAUAACCCGUCGAAAGACGGACUAAUACUGCGUAUGCUCACAACUUGGCAUCAAGUGGUGAGGAAAGAAAUUCGGUAUAGGAUAGGCAUGCGUCCCAUUAGCUUGUUGGCGAGGUAACGGCUCACCAAGGCAACGAUGGGUAGGGGAACUGAGAGGUUUAUCCCCCACACUGGUACUGAGACACGGACCAGACUCCUACGGGAGGCAGCAGUGAGGAAUAUUGGUCAAUGGGCGCGAGCCUGAACCAGCCAAGUCGCGUGAAGGAUGACUGUCUUAUGGAUUGUAAACUUCUUUUAUACGGGAAUAACAAGAGUCACGUGUGACUCCCUGCAUGUACCGUAUGAAUAAGCAUCGGCUAACUCCGUG
rnacentral:rRNA from 1 species